GUUUGAUCCUGGCUCAGAUUGAACGCUGGCGGAAUGCUUUACACAUGCAAGUCGAACGGCAGCACGGGGGCAACCCUGGUGGCGAGUGGCGAACGGGUGAGUAAUACAUCGGAACGUGCCCAGUCGUGGGGGAUAACGUAGCGAAAGCUACGCUAAUACCGCAUACGAACUCUGGUUGAAAGCGGGGGACUCGCAAGAGCCUCGCGCGAUUGGAGCGGCCGAUGGCAGAUUAGGUAGUUGGUGGGGUAACGGCCUACCAAGCCGACGACGGGUAGCUGGUCUGAGAGGAUGAUCAGCCGGACGGGGACUGAGACACGGCCCCGACUCCUUCGGGAGGCAGCAAUGAGGAAUCUUGCACAAUGGGCGAAAGCCUGAUGCAGCGACGCCGCGUGGGUGAGGAAGUUCUUCGGAAUGUAAAGCCCUUUUACCGGGGACGAAAAGGCUCUGGUCGAUACCAGGGGCUCGACGGUACCCGGUGAAUAAGCCCCGGCUAACUACGUGCCAGCAGCCGCGGUAAUACGUAGGGGGCAAGCGUUGUCCGGAUUUACUGGGCGUAAAGAGCGCGUAGGCGGAAGCUUAAGUGUGGCCUGAAAGCCCCCGGCUCAACCGGGGAGGGUGGCUGCAAACUGGGCUUCUAGAGGGGGAUAGAGGAAAGUGGAAUUCCGGGUGUAGCGGUGAAAUGCGUAGAGAUCCGGAGGAACACCAGUGGCGAAGGCGGCUUUCUGGGUCCGCCCUGACGCUGAGGCGCGAAAGCGUGGGGAGCGAACGGGAUUAGAUACCCCGGUAGUCCACGCCGUAAACGAUGGUCACUAGAUGUUGCGGUAUCGACCCCGCAGUGUCGCAGCUAACGCACUAAGUGACCCGCCUGGGGAGUACGGCCGCAAGGUUGAAACUCAAAGGAAUUGACGGGGGCCCGCACAAGCGGUGGAGCAUGUGGAUUAAUACGUCACUAACCGUAGAACCUUACCCAGGCUUGACAUCUGUAGAAUCCCCUUGAAAGGGGGGAGUGCCUCAAGAGGAGCUACAAGACAGGUGUUGCAUGGCUGUCGUCAGCUCGUGUCGUGAGAUGUUGGGUUAAGUCCCGCAACGAGCGCAACCCUCACCGUAUGUUGCCAGCGUAAAGUGGGCACUCUUGCGGAACUGCCCGGGUAACAAACCGGGAGGAAGGUGGGGACGACGUCAAGUCAGCAUGGCCCUUACGCCUGGGGCUUCACACAUGCUACAAUGGCCGGUACAGAGGGCUCCGAUACCGCGAGGUGGAGGCAAUCCCAAAAAGCCGGUCUCAGUUCGGAUUGCAGGCUGCAACUCGCCUGCAUGAAGUUGGAAUCGCUAGUAACGGCCGGUCAGCAAACGGCCGUGAAUACGUUCCCGGGCCUUGUACACACCGCCCGUCACGUCACCUGAGUCUGUUGCACCCGAAGCCGCUGGCCCAACCGCAAGGGGGGGAGGCGUCAAGGUGUGGCCGGUAAGGGGGACGAAGUCGUAACAAGGUAGCCG
rnacentral:rRNA from 1 species